rnacentral:rRNA from 1 species
GUGAGGAAUAUUGGUCAAUGAGCGCAAGCCUGAACCAGCCAUGCCGCGUGCAGGAAGACGGUCCUAUGGAUUGUAAACUGCUUUUAUUUGGGAAUAAACUCCGGUACGUGUACCGGCCUGAAGGUACCAAAUGAAUAAGCACCGGCUAACUCCGUGCCAGCAGCCGCGGUAAUACGGAGGGUGCAAGCGUUAUCCGGAAUCAUUUGGUUUAAAGGGUCCGCAGGCGGUCUUAUAAGUCAGUGGUGAAAGCCUACAGCUCAACUGUAGAACUGCCAUUGAUACUGUAGGACUUGAAUUCGAUCGAAGUGGGCGGAAUGUGACAUGUAGCGGUGAAAUGCUUAGAUAUGUCACAGAACACCGUUAGCGAAGGCAGCUCACUAGGUCUGGAUUGACGCUCAGGGACGAAAGCGUGGGGAGCAAACAGGAUUAGAAACCCGAGUAGUCC